AGCGUAGACGGAGCAGCAAGUCUGAUGUGAAAGGCGGGGGCUCAACCCCCGGACUGCAUUGGAAACUGUUGGUCUUGAGUACCGGAGAGGUAAGCGGAGUUCCUAGUGUAGCGGUGAAAUGCGUAGAUAUUAGGAGGAACACCAGUGGCGAAGGCGGCUUACUGGACGGUAACUGACGUUGAGGCUCGAAAGCGUGGGGAGCAAACA
rnacentral:rRNA from 1 species